rnacentral:sRNA from 1 species
UUGAGUGGGAAUAGAGUACUAACUAAAUUUGAAAGGGAAAUCCUAAUUUAACUGCGUUUUUAGUUGUUUAAAAUGUGUAAAAAAUCUAUAAAUCGAGUAGAUUCCCCACCAAAAACCCCACCAAAAAUAUU